GUAGCUCUAACGUACAGUCGAGAACACAUUUAGUUAUGAUCUUGAUCGAUACUGGAGGACUUGCUAGUAUGAAUCUCAAUAAUGAUGUAGCUGAUAUUGGAGGCUAUUUAUGCCAAAAUAUGGGUCAAAACCUGCCAAAACAUAGAAAAAGAAAAAUCACGUAACCAAAACAGAAUUGAGAAAUUCAUACAGCUAGCUAGAUAGUGUAAAAGCCAACCUUGCAUUCCUUUGGAAACAAGCCUCGUGUACCUGUUUAGUGUCUACAAGACUACAACCUUGAGCAGAUAAUAUUGCAUAUUUCCCUCAAGUUGUAAUAUGGGCAGCUCGAUCGAUCUCUAGUGUGGACGUCCACACAUGUGGUCAAUUAUGUGAAAUCAUUUUAUCAAUGCCCUACUAGCAAUCAAUAUUGGAUAACCACCCAAGUGACCAAACCACUCUAUCAAUUACCUAAUAAUAAAACUAGCUAUCUAGCUUACUCUCUUUUGGGUUUUGACUCCUAAAAUUCUCUAAUUUUCUUGUAUUUGAGAGGUCGUUUCCUUCCAACAUUGUGAUUGUUAUAUCGUUCCUUGAACGAUUAUAUUGAACGAUUAUAGAGUUUAGUAUUUAAGUUUUGAAAGUCGGAAAUCAAAACUGAGAGAAUGACAAUUUGACAAAUGUAUUAUUGUUAUAUCUUCUUUUUUUCUUAUGCUAAAAAACUAAUUACAAAACAGAUCCCCGGAAGCAACCUGCUCCAAAAAGAUCAGAAUUAACAACAAGCCCUACGGACAGGGGAAAAUCCGAAUUUCUAACAAGCCCUAUUUAUUAUUGCUAUAUCGUUUUUAAAAAGAUUAUAGAGUUUAGUAUUUAGGUUUUGAAAGUUGGAAAUCAAAACUGAGAGAAUAAUAAAUAUACGAUCUAUAUGUCUUAAUUUGUAAAUCUUAAUUCUUUAUCUAAAUUGUCCAACAUUUUUUUUUUGUCAAGAGACUUCCUUUUAACUUUGAAUAGCGAUGGUCUUCUAUCCCUGAAUUUAGAGGAAAUAUUUGUGUAUGAUACAUAUAAACGUGUAGCUUCCACCCACUCAACACAGAGCCACCUUCGCCUCUUGGUUUCCUACACUUAUCCAUUGUCUGAGAUUCUGAGUUGUCGCCUACAAUACUAACCUAUUCCCACCUCUCCUCCAACUCCCAACAAUGUCAAAAUUUUAAGCUAGCCUCUCUUUCACACAAACCUUCAAGCUACUUCUCCCUCCUAUUUAAACCUUCACACUACGUACACCAUCCGCUCAUCUCUCUCUCUCUCNNNNN
rnacentral:lncRNA from 1 species